rnacentral:lncRNA from 1 species
AUUGCUGGUAUCUCUUUGAAGSAGGUGGUUUGCCUCCGCAGCCUCGCUUAGCGUGGCAGAGCACCCGCCAGCCCUGCUUCCCUGCGCCCUCCUUGCUGCUGGCCUGCUCCACGCUUGCUCUGGGCUGUGCUUUCCCAGCCUGAGCUCUCCUGUGCUUUCUUAUCCACAGCCUCCUGCGCCCGAGAGCCAUGAGCUGUUCUCCAUCUCCGGAGAGCCAGCGGAGCAGCCCCCCUUCCUCGGCCUCUCGGCUCUGCUAGACGCCGUUGCUCCGAGGAGAAAGUCGCCCAUCGCUGGAGGRCAGCGCUGGCUGCGCCCGGGGUCUCGCCUCCCUCCCAAGGRAAGCGUGUCCAGGGUUAACGGAGCUGCACCACGUUGGGUCCCAUGAGACAGGCGAGACAGCCCUGUCCUUCCUGCCUGGGCCCGGGGACACAGCACCAUCCUCUUCCUCCUCUGCGUGGGCAGCCCCUCUGCUUUCUGAAACGAAGCYGUGAAGGUCUGCUGCAACGGUAGGUCCUCGGACUUUUCCCUUCUUGCCAGCCGUGUCUC